UUUCAUCGCCCUUGCUUAUUUCUCCAUUCCUCUUGAGCUCAUUUAUUUUGUAAAGAAGUCUUCCUUCUUUCCUUAUAGAUGGGUUUUGAUACAAUUUGGUGCAUUUAUUGUUCUUUGUGGAGCAACUCAUUUGAUCAACUUGUGGACCUUUGCCCUGCAUUCAAGAACUCUUGCCAUUGUUAUGACUGUUGCUAAAGUUUCAACUGCUGUAGUAUCCUGUGCAACAGCUUUAANNNNNNNNNNNNNNNNNNNNGUGCAUUUAUUGUUCUUUGUGGAGCAACUCAUUUGAUCAACUUGUGGACCUUUGCCCUGCAUUCAAGAACUCUUGCCAUUGUUAUGACUGUUGCUAAAGUUUCAACUGCUGUAGUAUCCUGUGCAACAGCUUUAAUGCUCGUUCAUAUCAUUCCUGAUUUAUUAAGUGUGAAAACGAGGGAGCUAUUUCUGAAGAAUAAAGCUGAAGAGCUUGACAGGGAGAUGGGCCUGAUACGGACACAGGAAGAAACUGGAAGGCAUGUUCGAAUGCUUACUCAUGAAAUAAGAAGCACACUUGAUAGAGAUACAGUACUAAAGACUACUCUUGUUGAGCUUGGGAGAACCUUGGAUUUGAAGGACUGUAUGUUAUGGAUGCCAUCACAUAGUGGUAC
rnacentral:lncRNA from 1 species